rnacentral:tRNA from 1 species
CGGGAAGUGGCUCAGCUUGGUAGAGCACCUGGUUUGGGACCAGGGGGUCGCAGGUUCA